CAGCCGCCGCGGUAAUACGUAGGUGACAAGCGUUGUCCGGAAUUAUUGGGCGUAAAGGGCUCGCAGGCGGUUUCUUAAGUCUGAUGUGAAAGCCCCCGGCUCAACCGGGGAGGGUCAUUGGAAACUGGGAAACUUGAGUGCAGAAGAGGAGAGUGGAAUUCCACGUGUAGCGGUGAAAUGCGUAGAGAUGUGGAGGAACACCAGUGGCGAAGGCGACUCUCUGGUCUGUAACUGACGCUGAGGAGCGAAAGCGUGGGGAGCGAACAGGAUUAGAUACCCCGGUAGUCCCUUUCUCUUAUAC
rnacentral:rRNA from 1 species